UCUUGAUGUGGCUGAUUAUAUUUACUUAUUCUUCUUUUCCCCGUAUCUCUUGUAAAUCAACAAUGUAUAGCUUUGAUUAGAUUGAAGUCAACUUUUGGGGAAAAAAUACUUCAUAAAUGUUGCUAUAGGUAUAGCAUCUUCUGUCACAUCAGGAGCAUUAAUAGUAGGUAUCCCAUUUGUAGUGAUAUUAAGAUUGAUCAGUGGGCUAAUGUACUGCUAGCCUGAUAAAGUUUCCCCAUCAAACUUUGACUCAAUGAUUUUAACCAUCAGUUAUAGUGGUGGGCGGCCUAGAUCUAUUAUUUCAUUACAGGCUGCCAUUGGUGAUUUGCUAAAUUUAUAAUUCCUUCCGUAUUUAUAAGAAUUCUUUGAUAAAGAAAAUUCUCACACUAAUCAACCAUUUGGUUACUAUUGUAGGUUGAUUUUCUUGGGAGGGAAACACUAAGCUGGAGAUUAAUAUGCAGGGCAUUUAUUAGGCAUUGCUUUUGGAAUCAGUAUCUUUGGAAGGGAAUUUAAAAUUUCCAGGUACAACAAGCUAGAUACCCCAUCAUAUGUGUGAGAAUCACAUUCUCUCCCAUAUAGAAAACUGACAUUGGUGGUGCAGAUUUGUGUUGUCUAUGAUUUUAAUCUUUGGAAGUUUGGCUACUUUUAUGGACCUUAUUUUUGGCUUCUUUUGCUUCUGUCUUCCCACUGUAGAAGAUGAGACAUGUCUCUAUCUAUCUAUCUAUGUGUCAUCUAUCUAUCUAUCAUCUAUUUUCUAUCCAUCUAUUUAUCUAUCAUCUAUCUAUAUCUAUCAUCUAUUGUCUAUCUAUCCAUAAUCAAUCAUCUAUCUAUCUAUCUAUCUAUCUAUCUAUCUAUCAUCUAUCUAUCUAUCUAUUCUAUAUCAGUCAUCUAUCAUCUAUCACCAGGGAGGCCUAUAGCUGUUACAGCUAGCUUUUAACUGCAGAUUAAUCAUUCUCAGUUUUUAUUUUUUUUUCAGCAUGUCACUUGAGCUCACCCACUUCUUUUCCUUAUCAUUACUAUUUCUCCCAUGUUUCUCAAAUGUCUGACACAUUGCAUGACCAAAUGUAUUUUCUUUCAUCAGUACACCAAACCAGUGAAAAUAUCAUCAAUUCCACUGCUACCUUGUGCCAUAAUCUGUGUUCCACCUGCCUUCAGUAAACAAGUUCCUGUGCCAAAUGGAAAACAAAUGAUUCAGGUCUACAAUCCUCUCACAAGAUGUUGCAGAUUUAUCUGACAGAUUUUCCACUCAGACCUGGAAUCAGUCAGUUUCCCAAGGAGGAAAAUAUAGUUCAGAGACCAGAAUCAGGGACCCAGAGGUGGUCAUUGCUACUGGUGUGUCUCAGCUUCUGGAACUUUUCAGUGGACGGGCAUGGGGACAAAAUUCCUUUGCCCCAGGAUUUGUUGCGUUUACACAGCUAAUUACUGACAGAGCAACAAGAAACCAUGACAGAGCAAGGCCUGAAACCAGAGCCUUCUGCAUUUUCUCAUCUGUGAUGACGUACAUUGAUGCUGGAUGUUCAUGAGCCUGAAGAUAUAAACAAGUAUUUACCAUUGGAAAAUAUGCUCUACACUAAAACAGAGACAAAAAAUAAAGGCAAACAGAAUAUAAUAUGCGGAGCUGUAAAGCCUUGAGUUUUCUGUAAAUUUAUGUACAAAGUAAU